UGGGGGCCCUACGGGAGGCAGCAGUGGGGAAUUUUGGACAAUGGGCGCAAGCCUGAUCCAGCAAUGCCGCGUGAGUGAAGAAGGCCUUCGGGUUGUAAAGCUCUUUUGUCAGGGAAGAAACGGUAGGGGCUAAUAUCCUUUGCUAAUGACGGUACCUGAAGAAUAAGCACCGGCUAACUACGUGCCAGCAGCCGCGGUAAUACGUAGGGUGCAAGCGUUAAUCGGAAUUACUGGGCGUAAAGCGUGCGCAGGCGGUUUUGUAAGUCUGACGUGAAAGCCCCGGGCUCAACCUGGGAAUUGCGUUGGAGACUGCAAGGCUUGAAUCUGGCAGAGGGGGGUAGAAUUCCACGUGUAGCAGUGAAAUGCGUAGAGAUGUGGAGGAACACCGAUGGCGAAGGCAGCCCCCUGGGUCAAGAUUGACGCUCAUGCACGAAAGCGUGGGGAGCAAACAGGAUUAGAUACCCUGGUAGUCCACGCCCUAAACGAUGUCUACUAGUUGUCGGGUCUUAAUUGACUUGGUAACGCAGCUAACGCGUGAAGUAGACCGCGCGCGA
rnacentral:rRNA from 1 species